UUUCAGCCUUCACAGCUCCUGCCCUCACCUCCAGGUUAGGGCUUCCUUUUCUGCAUCUGGUUCCCAUCUGAGAGUCCCCGAAGAAACCUUUAAGUUAGGAUCAGCUGUUGAAGAAUUCGAGAUAAUUUCGCUUACACGAGUUUAUUAACACUUGCUUUUCAUGAAUUGAAACUCUCCUUGAAAACAUUUGAAAUGAACGGAACUUGUUUGGAGUUCGAGAUCCCGAUCCGAGACGCGAUUUCUAGGAUCCGAUUCUCGCCGCAGUCCAACAACCUCCUCAUUUCUUCUUGGGACUCCAGUCUUCGAUUGUACGAUGUGGAGUGUUCUCAGCUCAGAUUAGAAGCUCCAUCCGAGGCUGCACUUCUCGACUGUUGCUUCCAGGAGGAAUCUGUUGUGUUCAGCGCUGGCUCUGAUGGCUCUAUUACACGGUAUGACUUGCAUUCAGGAAUCAGUAAUAGAAUUGGAAAUCAUGAUGAUGUAGCAACAUGUGUAGAAUAUUCUAAUGAAACACGUCAAGUGAUUACUACAGGUUUUGAUAAGAAGGUGAUAGCCUGGGACAUGUGCAGAGCAAAACCACUAGCAUUCUUGAAAAAUCUAGGUGCAGAAGUGGAGUCCAUGUCACUCUCUGGAUUUGAAUUAACAGUAGCUGUUGGAUCAUCAGUAGAUAUUUAUGACUUACGCAAUUUAGAGAGAUUAGUUCAAUCAAAUGAAUCUUGUAUGGAUGUUCAAAUACGAUGUGUCUGCUCAAUUCCUUAUUCUAAAGGAUAUGCAGUUGGAUCAGUAGACGGCCGAGUAAAAUUAGAGAUCUCAUAUCCGUCCAAUUCAAACAACAUGGGAUAUGUCUUCCGAUGUCAUCCAAAAUCAAGAGAUGGAAGACACCAUCUAGUGCCAGUGAAUGACAUUGCAUUUAACCCAUUCAUCUCAGGUGCUUUUGUUACGGGUGAUAAUGAGGGUUAUAUUACUGCAUGGGAUGCUAAAAGUAGAAGAAGAUUGUUUGAGUUGCCUAGAUGCUCAAACAGUGUUGCAUCCCUAUCAUACAACCAUGAAGGACAACUUUUGGCUGUUGCAUCAAGCUAUACUUACCAAGAAGCCAUUGAAAUAGAAAAGCCCCCUCAUAUAUCUCUACAUAAAAUGGAUGACAGCUAUAUCAGAUCAGUUUCUGCUGGAAAUUCAAGUAGGGAAUGACUGUACAAAUGUGCUUGGCAAUUACAGAAAUGACCCACAUUUACACAAUCUUAUUUUUGCCCAGAUGAAUUGUUUCCCGUAUCCGAACCAGACUCUAAAAACUUAGGCGCACAAUAAAUCAGCAGCUAAAGGAUUUCCAUCACCCUCCCUAUGUAAGAACGUCCUAGCUUGAUGGUAUUUUCCUCUAGUUUCAAUAAAUUCUUGCAUCUGCUAUGAUCUUGAGAGCAUCAUGUCUCUGGGAUACUAAAUUACUAAUCGACAACACAAGAGGAGUAAGCACAAAGCUCUAACAUCUUUGUACUUAACAUCUUGUCCUUUCUUGAAAGAAAAUUGUACUUAACAUCUUCGCUAGCUAAUUUAUGUAAUAUUCGUCGUAACUGUGUUUCUUCCUACCAGUAUAAUAGGUUAUUGCUUGUUGAACUACUAGCUAUUGCUGAUGCUGUAAGGGUUUGUCGUUUUCUCUUGUUCUUUCCUUUUGCCACAUAUAUGGAAGACAAUGAAUACUAUAGCCUGUAAGUUGGUUGCUGUAGAUCUCCAUUAAUGGAUUGAUAUCAGCUUGAUAAGUUUCUCGGCAGUUUAAUAAGCAUCCUGUCUG